AAAGAGAGCGAAAUUGAAAAAGCUAGUGAAGGUAAAAGAAAGGAAAGGAAAAUAUUAAUAACAAUUCACUUCUUUUCACCCUCUUUAAACCACCACCAUUAUCAUUACAAUGAUGUUUCAUCUUUCUUAAAAUUAUGUUCACCCCCAAGUCACCCACUUUUACAUCUCUUGUUAAAAUGAUUUCAUGUGAAUAAAAUCAAAUUGGGUCAAGAAAUUGAAACUCACUCUCCCUAUCAGAGCCAUACAUCAACCAUAGAGCCUUCAAGAUCAAUAGAAGACUUGUUUCACCUGUACAUUAUUAUUAUUUUAUGAAAUGUAUAAAGUGAUAAAAUCAUUAUACAGACGACAAAGUAACUAAAUGUGAUGUCAAAAAUUUAAAUGGUGACCAAAAUAAAUCAAAUUUCAUCAUUUGACAAACUCAAUCUAUUAAAGUUAAAGACCAAUAUAUUCCGAGACAAUUUCAGACUUUGCCAGCUUUCAGCAAUGAUUGAACAAAACUGCAGCUUUAAGGACUCGACCAUCAAUAAAGAAUUGAUCGAAUUAGAAAUUAUGGAUAACUUUCAUGAAUCUAAAUCAUGUUGAACUUUUGGAACGAAAAGGCUAUUUAAGAUGUUACAAUAUAAAAGCAAUGUUUUCAUUCAAAAGUAACUUCUUGUAUUUUCUAUCAACUCCAGAUUUUGAUAAUUAACCUGCGAUCGGUCCAAUACUGAUGAAAGUAGAUGACCAAAAAUUGAGGAAACUUGGAAUCUAAUACAAGAUUGACAACACAAAACUGAACACUUUAUGAAUUGUGAAUGGAACAAUUGUUGAAACUGACAAAAUUUGAUGUUGCAAAAUGAACAUCUUCAUAUCUCUCACCUGAUUUGCUGUAUUAUUUGAAGAUUAAGAAAACACUUUUUUCAAUUUUGUCGAUGAGAAUAUUGAUAUUUAUAUCAAUUGACCAAAAGGUCGUGACCCUCAAGAGUGUCCAUUGUACAAGUACAUUGUCCUUUGUACAACAUUGAUCUUGAUCCAUAUUUUGUGCUUUGACCUUUCACUCUUCUGGUCAUCAAAACUCAUGUGACUCUACUUGUUAAUAGCAACAUCUACAGGAUGUGAUUACAUCUUGAGUCGGACUUUAUUGAUAGCUUAUUUUUAUCCAAUCAUCAGCUGAAAGUCAAAAAGUUUACAAAUAUAAACUGAAACAAAAUGAAGCUAAAAAAGUCUCAUGAAAAGGUUGAAAUUACCUUUUGCAAAUUGAAACAAAUACACCAGUUCAUCUAAAGCAAACAAUUAAACCAUUGACUAUCAAAAUUGA